rnacentral:rRNA from 1 species
CGGGAUUGGAGAGCUUGCUUUCUCAUGAGAGUGGCGCACGGGUGCGUAACACGUAUGUAACCUACCCUUAUCAGGGGGAUAGCCUCUCGAAAGAGAGAUUAAGCCCGCAUAACAUGAAGACACAGCAUUGUGAUUUCAUCAAAUAUUUAUAGGAUAAGGAUGGGCAUGCGGAACAUUAGCUAGUUGGUAAGGUAAUGGCUUACCAAGGCUACGAUGUUUAGGGGAUCUGAGAGGAUGACCCCCCACACUGGUACUGAGACACGGACCAGACUCCUACGGGAGGCAGCAGUAAGGAAUAUUGGUCAAUGGGCGCAAGCCUGAACCAGCCAUGCCGCGUGCAGGAAGACGGCCCUACGGGUUGUAAACUGCUUUUGUACCGGAAUAAACCUCAUUAUGUAUAAUGAGCUGAAUGUACGGUAAGAAUA